CGUCUCAGUUCGGAUUGUAGUCUGCAACUCGACUACAUGAAGCUGGAAUCGCUAGUAAUCGCGAAUCAGAAUGUCGCGGUGAAUACGUUCCCGGGUCUUGUACACACCGCCCGUCACACCAUGGGAGUCAGCAACGCCCGAAGCCGGUGACCCAACCGAAAGGAGGGAGCCGUCGAAGGUGGGGCCGAUAACUGGGGUGAAGUCGUAACAAGGUAAC
rnacentral:rRNA from 1 species